rnacentral:rRNA from 1 species
ACAGGGAUUGCCCUAGUAACGGCGAGUGAAGCGGCAACAGCUCAAAUUUGAAAUCUGGCUCUCGGGCCCGAGUUGUAAUUUGUAGAGGAUACUUUUGAUGCGGUGCCUUCCGAGUUCCCUGGAACGGGACGCCAUAGAGGGUGAGAGCCCCGUCUGGUUGGAUGCCAAAUCUCUGUAAAGUUCCUUCAACGAGUCGAGUAGUUUGGGAAUGCUGCUCUAAAUGGGAGGUAUAUGUCUUCUAAAGCUAAAUACCGGCCAGAGACCGAUAGCGCACAAGUAGAGUGAUCGAAAGAUGAAAAGCACUUUGAAAAGAGAGUUAAAAAGUACGUGAAAUUGUUGAAAGGGAAGCGUUUAUGACCAGACUUGGGCUUGGUUAAUCAUCUGGGGUUCUCCCCAGUGCACUUUUCCAGUCCAGGCCAGCAUCAGUUUUCCCCGGGGGAUAAAGGCGGCGGGAAUGUGGCUCUCUUCGGGGAGUGUUAUAGCCCACCGUGUAAUACCCUGGGGGGGACUGAGGUUCGCGCAUCUGCAAGGAUGCUGGCGUAAUGGUCAUCAACGACCCGUCUUGAAACACGGACCAAGGAGUCGUCUUCGUAUGCGAGUGUUCGGGUGUCAAACCCCUACGCGUAAUGAAAGUGAACGCAGGUGAGAGCUUCGGCGCAUCAUCGACCGAUCCUGAUGUUCUCGGAUGGAUUUGAGUAAGAGCAUACGGGGCCGGACCCGAAAGAAGGUGAACUAUGCCUGUAUAGGGUGAAGCCAGAGGAAACUCUGGUGGAGGCUCGCAGCGGUUCUGACGUGCAAAUCGAUCGUCAAAUAUGGGCAUGGGGGCGAAAGACUAAUCGAAC